rnacentral:rRNA from 1 species
UACAGAGGGUGCAAGCGUUGUUCGGAAUUAUUGGGCGUAAAGCGCGUGUAGGCGGCUUUGCAAGUCGGGUGUGAAAUCCCUCAGCUUAACUGAGGAAGUGCGCCCGAAACUGCUUUGCUUGAGUACCGGAGAGGAUGGCGGAAUUCCCCAAGUAGAGGUGAAAUUCGUAGAUAUGGGGAGGAACACCGGUGGCGAAGGCGGCCAUCUGGACGGAUACUGACGCUGAGACGCGAAAGCGUGGGUAGCAAACAGG